CGUGGUCAACCUGCAGUCAAAAACAAUUCCUCCCACGCCGCCUCCCCUCUACACAAGGAACCGCAGCCCCCUGCCAUGCUCGUGUCGAGGUCGGCUUCCGGCGACAACCUCCAUGCCGGCCAGCGAGCUCGGCUCCGGAUUCGCCUCGGCGACGUGCAGAUCCGGCAACGUAAAGCCCUACUCCGGCGUUGCACGGCUCUGCCCCGGUCAUCUGCCCACGACGCAGCCCGGCUUCUACGAUGCCCAGCUCUAAGCUCGUCUCGCCCACCGCCGGAUGACCUCGCCAUGCCGCACACGACGCAACGCCUGCGACGACCGAGCCGCACUCGUGCGCAGUAGGUGGAGGACUAGGCCGCCGCGGAACCCGGCUUCUACGACGCCCAGCUCCAAGCUCGUCCCACCCGCCGCCGGACGACCACGCCAAGCCGCACGCGACGCGACGCCUGCGACCCCUACGCCGGCCUCUGGAACUGGUCCAUGUAAGAGUGAAACAUGGAAAGGGAGCCAAAGUUUUCUGCCAUAUGUUUCUGAAGAUACCCUACCUGCUAGGCUCCAGAGCUAGAUGAUGAAAGACAAGGCUCUAAAGAUUAUUGGUAUUGUAGAAAACUGCCCUGAUGGUAUGUAUGAAAAGACAAGGCUCCAAUUUGCACAUGCAGAAACUGUUAUUCCUUUUUUACUUCUUUACUGGUCUCUUUCUUGAAGGCUAAGGUAUGCUUCCACCUCUUUUGCUUAGUCCUGUUCUUGAAAUCCUUCCUCUGAAUUGUAUGCCUUGUUUGACACAUUUAUCUAUAUAAUAUAUGAUAUGUGUUGCAUAAAUUUCACUCUUUUGAAUAUUUCUACUAUGUCAUCUUUGACAGUCAUGCUGCUAGCACAGACAUGGAUGUGUAUCUUGCCAAUGAUGUUGGCUACCUAUGAAAUCAGAGGAAUGGACACGUCGUUUCUACCCUAAGAACCUCUGCAGGAGCAAGGGUGUUGUUGCUUGAUGCCCUGGCACCAUCAACAACUUCAAGGAGUUCGGGGAGGACGCCAGGUCUAAGACUGCAAGGUCGUCAUCAUCGAUUGAAGGAAAAAACAUGGCGCACGAGGACUACGACAUACCAGGUUUGAAUAUUAGAAUUGUGCUUUCUUUAGGCUCAAGUGUUUACUAUCAGCAUUCGAUUUUUUAUUUAAGAUCAUUUUAUCUGAUAGUUGAAUGUAAUUCAUAUUACAUAAUGGGUUGAAUGUAACUGAAUAAGAAAUUGUACAGUCUGCUUAUUUGAGUAAGGGCAAACCAUGCAUGUUGCAUAA